UUUUUACAUAACAAUGAGAUAGUUUUUUCAUGGUCAUUUAUUUUUUCAAAGAACCCCCUUUUUUUUUCAUUUACCGAAUUUUCUCAAUUUUCUUUCCUUUGUGAGUAAUUUUGUCCCAAAAAAGGACCUGAUUUGGAUGCUGCUGUCGCUGUAAUCGCGUUCUUUCUUUGAAUGCCGAUGAGAGGUGGAAGCACUGCUUUGUUACGCAUGCGUCUUCCUUCCACUCCUACUCACAAAGGUACUCUUCUAUUCAGUUCCUCUUCCUCAAUCAACACUUCGUUUUUAUUAUUAUUAGGGCUCCAUAAUUCCAUGGACAAUAAUCAAUUAUCCUUAAAUUCAAAUCCGAAAUCGCUUUCAACCACACCUGCAAAAUCUGAUCGAAUUGGUAAAACCAUCGAUAACCUCGAUGAUGAUGAGUUCUCGUUUCAUCAAAUGAUCCAUAAGAAGCCUCUGCCAUUGUUAAGCGAAUUCAACAGAUUCCUUGUAGUAAUUGUGAAGAAGAAGCGUUACUCCACAGCGAUUUCAUUGAUCAAUCAAAUGUUGUUCUUGCGAAUAUCCGUUGACGCGUAUAUGAUGAACAUUGCGAUAAAUUGUUUCUCUCAUUUACGAAGAAUCGAUCUAGGGUUUGCUAUGUUGGGUUGCAUUGUUAAAUAUGGUCAUGAACCACUUGUGUCUACUUAUAAUACUCUAUUAAAAGGUUUAGUGUUAUCAGAUAAGGCUUUUGAGGCUGAACAUUUGUUCAAGAAGCUGAUCAAAGAGAAAAUCUGCGAACCCAAUGAAGUUACAUAUGGGACAAUCAUGAAUGGGAUUUGUAAAGCUGGAAACACUAAAAUCGCCAUUGAAUUACUUAGAUUUAUGGAGAAAAGAGGUUGUAAACCUAACAAGGAAGUAUACACCACAAUCAUAGAUAGUUUUUGCAAGGAGAAAAAGAUGGAUGAUGCUUUAAAACUCCUCACAGAAAUGAUUGACAAAAGAGUUUCUCCAAAUGUCAUUACUUACAAUUCCUUGAUUUAUGGUCUGUGUAGUGUAAACAGAUGGGAAAAAGCCAAGGAAAUGAUUAUAGAAAUGGAUAAAAGAAAGAUCAAUCCUGAUGUGUUUACUUUCAAUACAUUUAUAGAUGCAUUUUGUAAAGAAGGAAUGGUGGAAGAAGCUGAAAGUGUUCUUCAUGUCAUGAUAGAAAGAGGUGAAAAACCAGAUGUUGUCACUUAUAGUUCAUUAAUUGAUGGGUAUUGUUUGAGAGGUGAAAUGAAGAAAGCCAUGAGAGUUUUCAACAUCAUGAUUGAUAAAAAAAUCAAACCCAACAUUAUCACUUUGAACACCUUAAUAAAUGGGCAUUGUAAAAGAUCAAACAUAGAUGAAGCAAUGAAACUUUUCAAGGAGAUAACUCAUACGAACUUAGAACCCACAGUUUCAACUUAUAGCACUAUUUUAUACGGAUUGUUUAAGGUAGGAAGAUGUGAAGAUGCUCUAAAACUAUUCGAAGAUAUGCAAUUUAUACCCCUAACUCCAAAUUUCAUCACGUAUUCAGUCUUAUUAGAUGGACUAUGCAAAAACAAUAGAGUCAAUGAAGCAUUAUCUUUCUUUCGUGAUAUAAUGAAGAAAGGUGUAAAUCCUAAUGUUGCUAUGUACACUGUUCUUAUUGAUGGUAGUUGUAAAAAUGGGAAGCUUGAUGUAGCUUUAGAUCUUUUUAGUGAAAUGUGUUCAAAAGGUUUGCAACCGAAUAUUGUGACAUAUAAUGCUAUGAAUAAUGGGUUUUGUAUAGAGGGAAUGAUUGAUGAAGCGAAAGAACUUGUUAUAAAAAUGGAGAAAAAUGGUGUUUUUCCAAAUAGUUCAACUUAUAACAUUCUUCUUCAAGGGAUUGUGAAGUGGAGAAAACCUAAAGAUGUGUUGUUACAUUUGAAGGAAAUGGAUGCAAAAGGGUUUUCGUUUGAUGCAUCUUCGUUUUAUUUGCUACUUCAUAUGAUUCAAACAAAAAAACAAGAUUCUAACUUUGUUGAAUUGAUUAGGAAACUUGCACCACAAGAUAUAUUGAAAUAUAAAUUCCGAUUAGCGAAAUAGCAUGUUCAGUUUCUACUUUUCCAAUGGUCAUGUAGAACUGUUAAAAGGGUAAAUGAGUCAUUUGCUGUAAAUCUGUAAUGCAAUUGAGAGAUUUGCUUGAGAUGUAGCUUCUGAAAAACCCAAACAUAGAGGAUUAUAAGGGUUGAGGUUAAAAAAUUUGGAUGAUAACGACACGAGGGCAUUUAUGUCUUUUGCCACCUUUUUGGAAGAGACAAAAAGUUGCAAACCGUAUUAUAUUGUGGCAUACAAAACAAAUGGGGUAAAAUGGCAUUUGAAAGUUUUAAUGGGAGUCGCUUUGUACAUGGUGAAGGGAUGGUUAUAUAGAAAGUGGAAAUAAACUUAAAGGUUGCAAUGAAGAAAUGGUCAAUGUCAUAAAAUAGUAACCCAAUUUUAUAUUUUGUUAUGCUUAGAUAACUCAAAUAUUUUUAAGAGUUUCAACCACUAGAUUUUCAAUUUUGGUCGAUAUUAAAAAAAAUUUGUUCACAUGUUUCGCUUUUGAGGAAUUUUGUAAUAUGUUUUAUCUUUUACAAAUUAAUGUAUGUGUAAAUUUUUUAGA